rnacentral:rRNA from 1 species
GACGAACGCUGGCGGCGUGCCUAACGCAUGCAAGUCGAGCGAAUGAAGUUCCUUCGGGAACGGAUUUAGCGGCGGUCGGGUGAGUAACACGUGGGCAACCUGCCUCAUAGAGGGGAAUAGCCUUCCGAAAGGGAGAUUAAUACCGCAUAAGAUUGUAGUACCGCAUGGUACAGCAAUUAAAGGAGCAAUCCGCUAUGAGAUGGGCCCGCGGCGCAUUAGCUAGUUGGUGAGGUAACGGCUCACCAAGGCGACGAUGCGUAGCCGACCUGAGAGGGUGAUCGGCCACAUUGGGACUGAGACACGGCCCAGACUCCUACGGGAGGCAGCAGUGGGGAAUAUUGCACAAUGGGGGAAACCCUGAUGCAGCAACGCCGCGUGAGUGAUGACGGCCUUCGGGUUGUAAAGCUCUGUCUUCAGGGACGAUAAUGACGGUACCUGAGGAGGAAGCCACGGCUAACUACGUGCCAGCCGCCGCAGUAAUAC